GAUGAACGCUGGCGGCGUGCCUAAUACAUGCAAGUCGAGCGAACGGACGAGAAGCUUGCUUUUCUGAUGUUAGCGGCGGACGGGUGAGUAACACGUGGAUAACCUACCUAUAAGACUGGGAUAACUUCGGGAAACCGGAGCUAAUACCGGAUAAUAUUUUGAACCGCAUGGUUCAAAAGUGAAAGACGGUCUUGCUAUCACUUAUAGAUGGAUCCGCGCUGCAUUAGCUAGUUGGUAAGGUAACGGCUUACCAAGGCAACGAUGCAUAGCCGACCUGAGAGGGUGAUCGGCCACACUGGAACUGAAACACGGUCCAGACUCCUACGGGAGGCAGCAGUAGGGAAUCUUCCGCAAUGGGCGAAAGCCUGACGGAGCAACGCCGCGUGAGUGAUGAAGGUCUUCGGAUCGUAAAACUCUGUUAUUAGGGAAGAACAUAUGUGUAAGUAACUGUGCACAUCUUGACGGUACCUAAUCAGAAAGCCACGGCUAACUACGUG
rnacentral:rRNA from 1 species